GGAGACGGUCUGGAAGUACCCGCGGCUGGAAAUCCCGAGACGGAGACGGUUUACCGAGCAUCGGUUGCGAUCGAACACGGGGAAACGCACUUCCUGGCAGAGCGACCCCCAUUUGGGAAAAACCUCUUCGAAUGCAGACACGAUGGCGAAUGUGCAAUUGAGUCAGUCACCCCUGGCUGAUUGAGUGAGAGCAGCAAAUGAAGGAUUGUUUGCUCGGUGACUGAGAUCUGGAGACGGAUUGAAGAUGGAC
ensembl:lncRNA